AGGCUGUUGGCGCAACGUUAGCGCGUCUGACUCCAGAUCAGAAAGUUGCGUGUUCGAAUCACAUACGGCUCA
rnacentral:tRNA from 1 species